rnacentral:rRNA from 1 species
UACGUAGGGUGCAAGCGUUGUCCGGAAUUAUUGGGCGUAAAGAGCUCGUAGGCGGUCUGUCGCGUCGGCUGUGAAAACCCGGGGCUCAACCCCGGGCCUGCAGUCGAUACGGGCAGACUAGAGUGCGGUAGGGGAGACUGGAAUUCCUGGUGUAGCGGUGAAAUGCGCAGAUAUCAAGGAGGAACACCGGUGGCGAAGGCGGGUCUCUGGGCCGUAACUGACGCUGAGGAGCGAAAGCGUGGGGAGCGAACAGG